rfam:Macaca mulatta chromosome 19, whole genome shotgun sequence.
GGCUAGCGUCAUACCACCCUGAUCCCAGAAGCUAAGCAGGACCGGGCCUGUCCAGUACCUGGAUAGGAGACCAUCUGGGAAUCUGGGUGCUGUAGGCU